rnacentral:rRNA from 1 species
AGGUAUCGCCUGCCCAGUGAUCUUAUUUUUAACGGCCGCGGUAUCCUAACCGUGCAAAGGUAGCGUAAUCAUUUGUCCCCUAAAUAGGGACUUGUAUGAACGGCUAACUGAGGGUCUAACUGUCUCCUGGGGUUAAUCAAUGAAACUGAUCUUCCAGUACAAAAGCUGAAAUAAACACAUAAGACGAGAAGACCCUGUGGAGCUUAAAAUAAACACUAUAAACCCCCGCCAACCUCCUUCGGGAGCAAAACCAUCACAAAACUAUAGUAAAAUUUUUAGUUGGGGCGACUUUGGAACAAAAUAAAACUUCCAUGCCAGGGACCCCCCCUAUCAAGGCUGACACGCCAAAACAUAUUCUUUUGACCCAGCAUAACUGAUCAACGAACCAAGUUACCCCAGGGAUAACAGCGCCAUCCUCUUCAAGAGUCCAUAUCGACAAGAGGGUUUACGACCUCGAUGUUGGAUCAGGACACCCCGGUGGUGCAACCGCUACCAAAGGUUCGUUUGUUCAACGAUUAACAGUCCUACGUGAUCUGAGUCA